rnacentral:rRNA from 1 species
AGGCGAGGCCGACAGGCGUAGUCGAUGGACAACGGGUUGAUAUUCCCGUACCCGCUUCAAUGCGCCCAUAUCGAACCUCGUGAUGCUAAGAGUCCUUAAGUCCUCUGAUGUCCUUCGGGACUAGGGGUGAGGCUGAACGCUCGAUCCGAUCGGGUAGUAGGUAAGCGAUGGGGUGACGCAGGAAGGUAGUCCAGCCCAGGCGAUGGUUGUCCUGGGGUAAGCAUGUAGGGCGGAACGUAGGUAAAUCCGCGUUCUAUUCAGCCUGAGAUGUGAUGCCGAGCCGAUUGUGGUGAAGUGGAUGAUCCUAUGCUGCCGAGAAAAGCCUCUAGUGAGUGUUGUGGCGGCCCGUACCCUAAACCGACUCAGGUGGUCAGGUAGAGAAUACCAAGGCGAUCGGGUGAACUGUGGUUAAGGAACUCGGCAAAUUGCCCCCGUAACUUCGGGAGAAGGGGGACCUCUGCUGGUGAUGGGCUUUACGUUCUGAGCUGGUGGGGGUCGCAGUGGCCAGGGGGAAGCGACUGUUUACUAAAAACACAGGUCCGUGCGAAGUCGUAAGACGAUGUAUACGGACUGACGCCUGCCCGGUGCCGGAACGUUAAGGGGACCGCUUAGCCAACGCGAGUUGGCGAAGGUGAGAACUUAAGCGCCGGUAAACGGCGGUGGUAACUAUAACCAUCCUAAGGUAGCGAAAUUCCUUGUCGGGUAAGUUCCGACCUGCACGAAUGGCGUAACGACUUCCCCGCUGUCUCAACCACAGACCCGGCGAAAUUGCACUACGAGUAAAGAUGCUCGUUUCGCGCAGCAGGACGGAAAGACCCCGGGACCUUCACUACAGCUUGACAUUGGCGUUUGGAACGUCUUGUGUAGGAUAGGUGGGAGACUGGGAAGCUGUCACGCUAGUGAUGGUGGAGUCAUUGGUGAAAUACCACUCUGGUCGUUUUGAACGUCUAACUCUGGUCCGUGAUCCGGAUCGGGGACAGUGGCUGGUGGGUAGUUUAACUGGGGCGGUUGCCUCCUAAAGAGUAACGGAGGCGCCCAAAGGUUCCCUCAGCCUGGUUGGCAAUCAGGUGUUGAGUGUAAGUGCACAAGGGAGCUUGACUGUGAGACUGACAGGUCGAGCAGGAGCGAAAGCUGGGACUAGUGAUCCGGCAUCGGCGUGUGGAAGCGGUGUCGCUCAACGGCUAAAAGGUACCCCGGGGAUAACAGGCUGAUCUUCCCCAAGAGUCCAUAUCGACGGGAUGGUUUGGCACCUCGAUGUCGGCUCGUCGCAUCCUGGGGCUGGAGUAGGUCCCAAGGGUUGGGCUGUUCGCCCAUUAAAGCGGUACGCGAGCUGGGUUUAGAACGUCGCGAGACAGUUCGGUCCCUAUCCGCUGCGCGCGCAGGAGACUUGAAGGGGGCUGUCCCUAGUACGAGAGGACCGGGACGGACGAACCUCUGGUGUGCCAGUUGUACCGCCAGGUGCACGGCUGGUUGGCUACGUUCGGAAGGGAUAACCGCUGAAAGCAUCUAAGCGGGAAGCUCGCCUUGAGAUGAGGUCUCCCACCCCGUGAGGGGGUAAGGCUCCCGGUAGAUCACCGGGUUGAUAGGCCGGAGGUGGAAGCACGGUAACGUGUGGAGCUGACCGGUACUAAUAGGCCGAGGACUUGACC